UGGGGAAUAUUGCACAAUGGGCGCAAGCCUGAUGCAGCCAUGCCGCGUGUGUGAAGAAGGCCUUCGGGUUGUAAAGCACUUUCAGCGGGGAGGAAGGCGUUAAGGUUAAUAACCUUGGCGAUUGACGUUACCCGCAGAAGAAGCACCGGCUAACUCCGUGCCAGCAGCCGCGGUAAUACGGAGGGUGCAAGCGUUAAUCGGAAUUACUGGGCGUAAAGCGCACGCAGGCGGUUGAUUGAGUCAGAUGUGAAAUCCCCGGGCUUAACCCGGGAAUUGCAUCUGAUACUGGUCAGCUAGAGUCUUGUAGAGGGGGGUAGAAUUCCAGGUGUAGCGGUGAAAUGCGUAGAGAUCUGGAGGAAUACCGGUGGCGAAGGCGGCCCCCUGGACAAAGACUGACGCUCAGGUGCGAAAGCGUGGGGAGCAAACGGG
rnacentral:rRNA from 1 species